rnacentral:lncRNA from 10 species
UGAAAUUGCAUCUACUUGAAGAAAAGAUCAAAAGCAUAUGAAAGGAUGAGUCACCUCCUAGCAAAGCCAUCACAGGCCCCCGUGGAAUCCUAAAGCUCACCCUGCAUUUGAUACAUCCUUCUUGAUAGAUCCAAAUCUGAUCAUCGGCCCCGACAUCCUCCAUGACCUGUAUCCUCAGAAGCUUCAGAUCCUCUAAGUUUCCAUUGGUUGACAUGAAUAACCCUGUUGCUUUGUUUCGAAGUCUGAAAUAAAUUCGCUUCUAGAAGACAAAACCCCCAGCAGUUGUUAUACCAGAUGUGCUGCUGGAAGCACUGAACAAGCAUGAAUAUCAGGAAGAAUCCAAAGUGAGAUAUGGAUUAAGGGUAAUUACCAUACUCAAGAGUCUCAGAGGUUUUAAAUUUUCUCAAUGAGAAGAGUUUGACAAAAUGUCAAAGCGCCUGAGGCAGGGUGCCUGCCUGUGGAUAACUGCGUUUGAUGUUCAGUUUGAUGGCCUUCUGAAGCAGCCACACCUCUUAGCACCAGAAACUGAGCCCAGAUUAUUGGGGCAGGGAAGGAGUUUAUAGGGUGAGGCCAGUUAUAAACUUUGAAUAAAAAAAUUGGAUAAAAAGUUGGAUUGCAUUUACAAAAAAAUUUCAGAGAAGAGUCUAUGCAGAGCAUGGAGAGGAAGAAAAUACCUGAACAAAAGGUCGUAGAGAACCUAUUUGGCGACAGCCACUGAAUUCAUACCAAUUAGGUACUUCUGCAGGUGACAAUAGGAACUGUCGCCCUCUGUAACUGCCAUAUUCAUAAGUAACCCAUCUGAAAACAAAAAUAACCACAGUAAGUGGCAAUUUUCAUUUGACAGUGGACCCCAAUUACAUUUAUUUUUAGAAUGCUUUCCAUUUCUAGACUGAACUAUAUACUUUUAACAUACAUUGGGGGAAAAAUGAUCUUUUCUAGAACACUUAAAAGAAGUAAUUUCUUGACAAAUAGCAAAUUUUUGUUACAUGAGUACUUAUGCCAAAAAGUUCCAUUCUUGAAGAGAAAUAGGUAAGUUUUUUCCUCCGUAAAGCAGUGAAAUAUUGUCUUUUAGUGGAUUCCUCAGUUCUUCCUGGGAACUAUUCAUAAAAUAGCUUCAGUUGUAAUAAUGGGUCUUUAAGUUGUUAAUAUUUCCAAAGCUCUUAGUAGGUGCUAAAUAGGGUUAAAUAAAAAGUUUUGUCUGCAGUGAGAGUAAUCUUUGUUAAAUCUAAAAAACUGCUAAGAUACUCAGUUCCCUUCCGCUCAGAUGCUACUGCUGCACACCUGAGGAAGUAUGGGUUUAAGCGCAGACUGGCGUGGAAGCAGCCCAGCGCCCUCCUCUCUUGCAUAUUACAUCAGGGAAGAAUGCACUCUACUUUUAAUCCUGGAACUUAAAUCCUGGAUAAAAUUUUAUCAUUUUAGUCAUCUUAUCAUAAAAACAAAAUAUUAAAACCUACUGCAAAAAAAUCACCCAUAAUUCUACCACCCUAAUAUUCUAUAAUUUUUUUUUCCAGGUAGGUCUCACUCUGUUGCCCAGGCUGAAGGGCAGUGGCACGAUCACAGCUCACUGCAGCCUCAACCUCCCAGACUCAAGUGAUCUCCCACCUCAGCCUCCUGAGUAGCUGGGACUACAGGCGUGCACCACCACACCCGACUAAUUUUUGUGUUUUCAAUAGAGACAGGGUUUCAACAUGUUGCCCAGGCUUGUCUGGAACUGCUGGGUUCCAGUGAUCUGCCCACUUUGACCUCCCAAAGUGCUAGGGUUACAGACGUGAGUCACUGCGCCCAGCUUCUGUGAUUUUUUUUAUUUUCUUUUUUAGAUGGAGUUUCACUCUUGUCACCCAGGCUGGAGUGCACUGGUGUGAUCUCAGCUCACUGCAACCUCCACCUCCUGGGUUCAAGUGAUUCUCCUGCCUCAGCCUCCUGAGUAGCUGGGAUUACAGGGGCCCCACCACCACACCUGGCUAAUUUUUGUAUUUUUUAGUAGAGACAGGGUUUCACCACGUUGGCCAGGCUGGUCCUGAACUCCUGACCUCAGGUGAUCCACCCGCUUUGCCCUCCCAAAGUGCUGGGAUUACAGGCAGGAGCCACUGCACCCAGCCCGGCCUGAUUAUUUUUUAAAUAGAUGUAGUCCACCCCAACAUCUGUUGUACACAGGUAGACCAUACCUAUUGUUUUUGUGAAUAAAAGAAAAAUACUUUCUUAAAAACAUGUAUUACAUUGAUGGUACUCAUUCAUUUUUAUAUCUUAUUCAAAAGUAUUCGAAGUUGAGGGGAAAAAAAUCUUUCCAAGUUGACCUUUAAUCAUUUGUAUAACAUCUGCCAGUCAUUCC